CAACGUAGGUAAUGUGCCUUUGGGUGGGGAAUAGCUCGGCGAAAGCCGGAUUAAUACCGCAUAAUGCAGCGGCUCCUGAUGGAGACAGUUGUUAAAGAUUUAUCGCCUAAAGAGCAGCCUGCGGCAGAUUAGCUAGUUGGUAAGGUAAUGGCUUACCAAGGCUACGAUCUGUAGCCGACCUGAGAGGGUGGUCGGUCACACUGACACUGAAUAACGGGUCAG
rnacentral:rRNA from 1 species